ensembl:lncRNA
CCCAGGUGUGGCCAGGAACGCCCAGGUAUAGCCUGGACCCCCCCCAGGUGUGGCCAGGAACGCCCAGGUAUAGCCUGGACCCCCCCAGGUGUGGCCAGGAACUCCCACGUGUAGCCAGGACCCCCACAGGUGUGACCAGGACCCCGUUAGGUGUGGCCCUGGCCCCCCCAGGUAUGGCCUGGACCCCCCCCAGGUGUGGCCCUGAGCCCUGCACCGACCCCACAGUGCAGGGUGGGCUGAGGGCAGGGAGGUCUGUGCAGGACAGAUGUGUAAAUGGACAGGUGUGUAAAUGGACAGGUGUGUGAGGUACAGGUGUGUAAAUGGACAGGUGUGUAAAUGGACAGGUGUGUGAGGUACAGGUGUGUAAAUGGACAGGUGUGUGAGGUACAGGUGUGUAAAUGGACAGGGAUGUAAAUGGACAGGUGUGUGGCAGGUAUGGCAGGUACAGGUGUGUGUCAGGUACAGGUGUACCAGGUACAGGUGUGUCAGGUACAGAUGUGUUCCAGGUACAGGUGUGUAUCAGGUACAGGUGUGUCAGGUACAGGUGUGCCAGGUACAGGUGUGUCAGGUACAGGUGUACCAGGUACAGGUGUGUUCCAGGUACAGGUGUGUCAGGUACAGGUGUGCCAGGUACAGGUGUGUAUCAGGUACAGGUGUACCAGGUACAGGUGUGUAUCAGGUACAGGUGUACCAGGUACAGGUGUGUAUCAGGUACAGAUGUGUUCCAGGUACAGGUGUGUCAGGUACAGAUGUGUUCCAGGUACAGGUGUGCCAGGUACAGGUGUACCAGGUACAGGUGUGUCAGGUACAGGUGUACCAGGUACAGGUGUACCAGGUACAGGUGUGUUCCAGGUACAGGUGUACCAGGUACAGGUGUACCAGGUACAGGUGUGUUCCAGGUACAGGUGUACCAGGUACAGGUAUACCAGGUACAGGUGUGUACCAGGUACAGGUAUACCAGGUACAGGUGUGUAUCAGGUACAGGUAUGUCNCAGGUACAGGUGUACCAGGUACAGGUAUACCAGGUACAGGUGUGUACCAGGUACAGGUAUACCAGGUACAGGUGUGUAUCAGGUACAGGUAUGUCAGGUACAGAUGUGUUCCAGGUACAGGUGUGCCAGGUACAGGUGUGUAUCAGGUACAGGUGUGUUCCAGGUACAGGUGUACCAGGUACAGGUGUGCCAGGUACAGGUGUGUGUCAGGUACAGGUGUACCAGGUACAGGUAUACCAGGUACAGGUGUGUGGCAGGUACAGGUGUGCCAGGUACAGGUGUACCAGGUACAGGUAUGUCAGGUACAGAUGUGUUCCAGGUACAGGUGUACCAGGUACAGGUAUGUCAGGUACAGAUGUGUUCCAGGUACAGGUGUGUAUCAGGUACAGGUGUGUAUCAGGUACAGGUGUGCCAGGUACAGGUGUACCAGGUACAGGUGUGUUCCAGGUACAGGUGUGUCAGGUACAGGUGUGCCAGGUACAGGUGUACCAGGUACAGGUGUGUCAGGUACAGGUAUACCAGGUACAGAUGUGUUCCAGGUACAGGUGUGUCAGGUACAGGUAUACCAGGUACAGGUGUACCAGGUACAGGUGUGGCAGGUACAGGUGUGUCAGGUACAGGUAUACCAGGUACAGGUAUACCAGGUACAGGUGUGUCAGGUACAGGUAUACCAGGUACAGGUGUACCAGGUACAGGUAUGCCAGGUACAGGUGUGUCAGGUACAGGUGUGCCAGGUACAGGUGUACCAGGUACAGGUGUGCCAGGUACAGGUGUGCCAGGUGUGCGGCAGGUACCGUGCAUGUUGUAGUCAAAGGUGAGCUCCUCCCCUGCCCGGAUGGGCCGCGUGGCGAAGAGCGCGAUGCGCGGCAGGCGCUGGUCCAGGUUCUCGAUGAACACGUUGUACACCUGCAGGUUGGGGUCACACUGCCCCGCCCGGCAGGUGAGACACACCUGGCAGGUGAGCCCCACCCCCAUGAGCUCCACCCACGGCACCCGAGACACGCCCACACCUGGGGAACAGGUGCUGGAAGCGCCACCCACACGGCAGGUAAGGCCACACCUCUGCACAGGUAA